ACUUCUUCUACAUACGUAUUAAUUACGGUAAAAUAAAGAAAGAUAUUCAAAACCUUCUUUCUUUCAAGCUUUGCUCUCACUAUUCCAAUUCCUCAUUUCUCACAGCCUUCCCCUUCCUCGAACUCCCCUUUGCAGCUCACGGCCAAUCUUGUUGCCAUAUUGUUGCCCCUCUUCGUUCUCUCCUACUUGGAUCCGUCGGAGAUUGCCAAGCUCGCACGGAUCAUCCAGGCUUUGUGAGCAACCGCCUCCAUGAAUUUCAAUCCUUCUAACCAUAGGUCUUUGCUAGAUGGCAUAGAGUGCUUGAGCUAUUGUUUUGUGCCAAGCAAUAUGGCACAGGAGUAGAAGUUUGGGCAGAUCGAAGGUGGAGGUGGAAACAUCUGGCAACGACAACUGCAACUAUUGGUGUAGUCGUUGACUUCUUCCAGCCAAAAAGAUUGAAAAAAACUCAGCUUAUUCUCCUAUUCGGAUCUUCAUUAAGUGGAGGUCAAUGGGUUAGCUAAGUUGCUAAAUGAUGGUGGAAAUGAAUUGAAUUAAAGAUACUUGACGUUUUGAAUGGUAUUUUGUCGGUAAACUGACUUGAAACGCUUGGCAAUAAAUGGAGUAAGUGAAGAGAUAAUGGUUAUCUCA